ensembl:misc_RNA Metazoa_SRP Metazoan signal recognition particle RNA
GCUGGGUGUGAUGUCUCACGCCUGUAAUCCUAGUAUAUUGGGAGGCUGAGGCAGGAGGAUCACUUGAGCUCAGGAGUUUGUGACCAGCCUGGGCAACAUAGUGAGACCUUGUCUCAA